CUCCUGAAUCAUAUGUCUAAGCGGUUUACCUGAUUUUCCUCUUUUGAAGUUCUUCUAAAAGCUAUAGGCUUUUAGAAGAAGCAUUCCGGAGCACUUAUGGACCUGUUCUAUGUCUUCAUUAUCGCUUCUGCGUACGCAGAGUUACACUCCUACACCAGCACCUAUACUGGAGUAACGGGUAUUCCAAAACUUCCUUAUUUUACUGCUGUUACCAGAGUGGAUAAGCUGGAGGUUCAUUACUUUGACAGUAAUAUUAAUAAGCGCAUUCCCAAGAAAGAGUGGAUGAUGACGGAAAAAUUUCAAAACUUCUGGAAAGAUAUUAACGCCUAUCAUGAUGAAGUGUACAAGCAAUUGAAAAUCAAAAUUUCAGCAAUACAGCUGUGUAAACAUAACAUUAAGUUAGUAUGCCGUACAGUAGAAGAUUUAAUUUAUAAGUUAUAUAUAUUUUUAGUCCCUCCCAAAGUUUCUCUGCUGCAGAAGAACUCCUCCUCUCCAGUGGUGUGCCAUGCCACAGGUUUCUUCCCAGCAAAAGUGAAUAUUACCUGGAGAAAAAAUGGACAGGAGUACCAUGACCAUGUGGAGACUGGAGAAACUUUACCAAAUGUUGACGAAACCUUCCAGAAGCAUGUCAUACUCAGAGUGAAGACAGAGGAGUGGAAGAGGAACCAGUACAGCUGUGUAGUGUAACACAAGAGUUUGAUAAAAGACAUCCAGAAGAUUCUGACUGAAGAUGAAAUCAUAAGCAACAACAAAACAAACAACUCUUCACUUAAUCCAUUAAUUGUUGGAAUUAUUGUAAUUGGAUUCAUUGUGAUUGUGAUUGGUCUGAUUGUUCUGAAAAUUAGACAACCUGACAACUGUCCUAACACAAUUAGAAGCAGGAGCAACAUCGCACUUGCUGACCUGUCCUCUCUUUCAAGAAGUUAUAAUGCAUGUUAGUAAAGCCUGGGUUGUAUCAAAAUGAGAUGAUAUACUGGGCGUUAUCGAAAGGUUGUAGGUUUGUAAACCUGAAGAACUGGUUGUUUCAAUAAGUACUGUACAGUGUUUCCUUUACUCUUUACUUUAAAAACUGUCUGUAAAGGGUAAUAUUUUAUGUAUUUGAGGUCUGAGAUGUGGGAACGGUGAAGAGAGAGAUAUUAUUAUAUAUAUCGGCCAAUAUUGUCUCAAAUAGCAUGCAUAGCACUUCAUCUUUUAUAACAUGAGAUUUUGACCAAAUUUUGGUAAAAUGUUGCAACAAUUUUGUUAUUUUGUGUGUGUGUGAAAAAUUACAGUUUUGGACAUAUAAGGUAAUAAAUAAUACAUUAAAAAAUCCCUUAAAGUAAAUGAGCAUGUAAAGCAAAUAUCCGCCCCACACAAUGUUCUCACCUUUUUUCCCCCUUACCUGUUUGCAUCCCUGAAUAAGUAAUAAGUUUACAUUUAUUCAUAGUAUUUUAUUUAAAAUUAAAUAGAAUUAAAAAAAAAAAGAUUUUUAUUAUAAUUAAAAAAAAAAAAAAAGCCAAUUAAAAGUGUCGUGGCAAAUUUGAUGUCUCUGUGUCCCUUCAGUUCUGGUCUCGAAGAAAAAUUCACAGUCGAAGUUCCAGGUCUCAGAAGUAUUUAACUUUAUUGUCAAGCAACAAAGUGAGAUGCCAGUUCCACAUCUGAAUCUCUCUAGCCAGGGCACAGUUUUUAUACAUUUUUCUUAUCUGUUACAGUGUGAGAUCCACCCCUACAGUUAUUUUCCAUGAUCUCAUUUACAGGGGCUCUCCUCCCACACACCUUUCCCAUGUACUCCCCAACCUGUCCACCACAGUCAUUUCACCAAUAUAAUUGCAGGUGUUGCUUAUGUAAGAGAUAGGUUUCUUAGUAAGGGAGACCAACUUCCUACUACUGUACAUCUUUUGACUUAAUUUCUCAUGGGCCUUCUGCCAAUUGAUGGUCAACCCUUUUCUCACGGGCCAAAUGAAACAUUGUAUCAAAAACAAUCAACACUCCCCGGAGGCAAGAAGCCUUUCGCAUGACUCCCUUAAUAAUGGUCUUAUUCAUUUCACAGCCACCUGUUGUCUGGUGGAAAAUUACCAACAAAAUAUGCUUAUUGGCCAAGUUAACUUCUCAGAAACAUCUGACCCUUACAGUUACAUAGGCCAAGAGGCCUCAAAACACUUCUAGCUUUUAUAGUAAGCAAACUAAUUCUACAACUGUUUUCUAUAGGAUGGAUAAAAU